GGAUUUUUCAAUGCAAUUUAAAAUAAAAACAUGUUUAGCUCAGUGAUGCUUCAUUGGUAAAAGUAAGGUAAACAUGCAAACCUGCGUGUGUACACUAGUCGUGCAGAUUGUGAAACAGGCUUAUCAACAAUUCAAGAACAAAAUACACAUGCCUAGUCGUAGUAGGGAGUAUAUGUCUAUCUAUGUGGACUCGUCAGACAUGUGAAUGCUAGCUACAACAU